rnacentral:lncRNA from 1 species
AAAUAUUUAAUGUCAUUGAUUUUUUGGGGGAAAUUUGAAUUGGCAUAAUUCCUUUAUAAUUGUGUACCUAUAUGAUGUAAGGGGCUGCUGUUGUGUAUGAUUUAGAUAACACUUGUUCUGAUGGUACAAAUAUAUAUAAUAAUGAAUGAUGUAAGUAACCUUGUUUCUAAUGAUUUAAGGAACUUUGUGUGUCUGGUGUAAGGGCUUUUUCAUUAAAUUGACUGUACUUGGGUCGGAAGGUAUAAAUUUUGUCCAUUGUUCUAUGAACAACUUAAUCAUUGAACUAAUUAAGUAAUCUGCAACAUCAGGGGUCAUGUAAACAUUUGAAUAAAUAAUAACUUGGGUCAAAGCUAAUUGGCUGACAGUAGGGACAGGUUAUAAUUGUCAUAAUACACUGAUGUCAACUAUCUUUCGAUACCACACUUUAACCAAUUAUAAGCUUUUUGCCAAAAUUCCAAACAAACAUUAUUUUUUUAUAGGUUUAUGUUUUUAGUGAAAUAAACACGACCUAUUCCAUUUGUAAAAGUUUAAUGCAAUUUGGUCAUUUUCUAGUAAUGUUUAGCAUAGAAAGAAAUUUGCUAAAAUUAUGUAUUGACCUUCCGACCUCUAUUACAGUAUAUUUACAUGGACUAGCGAUAUUAUUGUCUUUGUUAAUUAUGCUGUACCAUUGUUGAUAAAGGCAGCUUUACGUGUUCUGUCGUAUAUAGUUUAUUCUGUUAUUUAUUGUAAUACAUAGUGUAUGUUUUUAGUGUUAAUCGUAGGGUCAUUCAAUUUUUCAAAACCAUUCAGCAUGUUAAAAUGAAAACCAAACCAUAACUUAUUUUCACUUGCAUAUCUUGGAUAUAGAACACUCAUAUAAAUUGAUGUCUGUUUUGGACUUUGAAUACACCUGAUCCAUUUUGUCUUCUAUUCUUUAAAGGUAGGGAAAGGGAUGGGGGAAUGCUUCCUUCAAGGUUUAUUGUACAGGAAUUUCUUACUCGUGACAGUUGUAAAAAAAUACCAAUCAUAAUAUUGGAAAUUGGAAAAUUUAGAAAAUGAUUCUAUGUACUGAAAAUACUGCAUAAUUGUUAACACUGAGUUUACUAAAUCGAUUUUAUUCUGGUUUUCAGGGAUUUUAUACAACUUAUUUAACAAAAAAGGAAGUGUCUGUGUUUCAAAGCUCCAAAGUAGAAACUUAAUACCUUUCACAUUAAAAGUGAUUAAGAGUUAUUGCCCUUGUGUGUUGAACAAAGUGUGAUAACAAGGAAGAUGGCUUUUGAUCAUUCUUAAUUAAAAUGUUUAUAAAAAGAAGGUUUUUUUCUCAAAUACCUAAUGUAUAUUUUCCUAUAAUACAUAAGAUAAAAGAACAUUUUGAUAUUACAAAAGUAUAAAAUAACUUGACAGUUAAUAAAAGAAAAAGUCUUCUUAACUCAGUUUAUAUGAUGUGUUCACAUAAGUUUUAAUUAUUUUAGGUCAUUGCUUUUAAAAAGUUUCCAUUUUAAAGACAACUGUUAAAGUUAACAAAUACAAUUUUAUAGUCAUGUCAUCUAUACAAUCAUUCAUUAUCAUUCAUAUUUUAUAAUAAAACAUGUUUUAAGACUUUAGAAGUUGCUUUAAUGAAGAAGAAUAGAAUAUUACACCCCUCUCACUAAACCUUGUCCUACCCUUUGUAACUUUUGUUACAUAUUACAGAGUUUCUGCAUUAAAGUAGAAUUGUAC